GUAGGUGAACCUGCGGAAGGAUCAUUAACACGAAUUUUAUCCAAUAUCAAACCAAACGUGAACUUUUCCCCUCCCUAUGCAACACUCUCUCAGUAAAAUGUAAGAGUUUGUCUAGGCUAACCUUUUUCACUAAUAAUUAACAACACUUGCUGUUGUUAGCUAUUUUUCAAACCCCUAAAACACUUAACUUAGUUCAACUUUUUCUUCUUUUAGGAAAGGAACACGAACUACUAAACUAAAAAUCAAUUUCUCCAUUAAUUUUUGGGAAAUUAUUUUUUCGAUAUUACGAAAAAUUAAAGAACAACUCUUAACAAUGGAUAUCUUGGUUCUC
rnacentral:misc_RNA from 1 species